rnacentral:misc_RNA from 1 species
UCCGAGUUGACCCCGGCAGUCUCCCAUGAGUCCCCGGCAUUACCCGCUGGCAACAUGGAACGAGGGUUGCGCUCGUUGCGGGACUUAACCCAACAUCUCACGACACGAGCUGACGACAGCCAUGCAGCACCUGUGUUCGAGUUCCCGAAGGCACCAAUCCAUCUCUGGAAAGUUCUCGACAUGUCAAGGCCAGGUAAGGUGGGGAUGACGUGAGAGAGUACGUCC